ncrna:unclassified sequences eL15-Euryarchaeota ribosomal protein leader
GCGGAUAAUUGUCCGCUGGGAUGUAGCCGCAUAGGCUGAACCAUAAA